rnacentral:lncRNA from 1 species
CAAAAAUAAAGAAUAAUUUUAACAUUAUCCAAAGAGAAAAAUCACAACUGAUACAUGCAGUUACUUAAAUAUCUCUUAUAUCUGUGUCAGUUUCUUUGAUUCUCCUCUCCUCUCCCUUUUCUUCCCUUCUUUCUCCCUUGUCUAGUAUCAGUGCCUUAAUCCUAGGAUACGGACAAAUCAGGCUGCCAUUCAUUUAUGAGGGCAAAAUUCAAAUAAACUGUAGCAUAUGGGGUUGAUCCGCAAGACAGGUGUGCUGUAGUGGGCUCACAUCCAUUUGACCUAGGGCUCUUAGCACCCUUAGAUUUCAUAUCAUAAAAAUCAUGUUUUUCAUUUCCAGUAGGCUCUUGGAAGACAGUAACAUAUGCAGUGAGACCUAUAAGAAAAGACAGCUCUUUCGGUUGGUAUGGUUUCCUUUUUUAAAACUGUGUUUUCAGAUUAUGUGCCGGAAUCAAUGUUAACUAUAAGUGUAUCAGUGUAAACUAUCUCUGUUCACGAAGGAAAAUAUGUUUGGUUAUUUCUUUGUAAAGCUUGUUUCCGAGCUAGUGUUGAAGCUUUAUUGGGGCCUGUAAGACACAGGACUGGCAAACCAUGGCUUGGUCUACAGUCUUUUAGGGUUCUUCCUCUGAUUCUCUGGGUUUUUCUCCAGGGUUGACUUUGGGAAUACACUGACUUCACAUUCCCAAAUCAACUUUGCUAAAUUACACUGAAUGAAUAUUUCUCUGGCAGGUUGCAAUUGUGUAUAUGUUCCCAAUACUAGAAUACAAAUCCAUGAUAAUGCUAUUUGAGUAGUUGAUUUUUCGCCACUACUAUCCAUCAUAAUAUUUCAAACAACAUUUUUUCAAGCACAGAUUUUAUUUCUAAAGAAAGAUAUGGGAUUGUCUCCAAUUAUAAUGAAUUACAUAAAAUCUAGAUCUGUGUGGGGUAAGGGAA